GAUGAACGCUGGCGGCGUGCCUAAUACAUGCAAGUCGAGCGAAUGGAUUAAGAGCUUGCUCUUAUGAAGUUAGCGGCGGACGGGUGAGUAACACGUGGGUAACCUGCCCAUAAGACUGGGAUACCUCCGGGAAACCGGGGCUAAUACCGGAUAACAUCUUUAACCGUAUGGUUCGAAAUUGAAAGGCGGCUUCGGCUGUCACUUAUGGAUGGACCCGCGCCGCAUUAGCUAGUUGGUGAGGUAACGGCUCACCAAGGCAACGAUGCGUAGCCGACCUGAGAGGGUGAUCGGCCACACUGGGACUGAGACACGGCCAAGACUCCUAAGGGAGGCAGCAGUAGGGAAUCUUCCGCAAUGGACGAAAGUCUGACGGAGCAACGCCGCGUGAGUGAUGAAGGCUUUCGGGUCGUAAAACUCUGUUGUUAGGGAAGAACAAGUGCUAGUUGAAUAAGCUGGCACCUUGACGGUACCUAACCAGAAAGCCACGGCUAACUACGUGCCAGCCGCCGCAGUAA
rnacentral:rRNA from 1 species